rnacentral:rRNA from 1 species
UACGUAGGCAGCAAGCGUUGUUCGGAGUUACUGGGCGUAAAGGGUGCGUAGGCGGUUGUUUAAGUUUGGUGUGAAAUCUCCCGGCUCAACUGGGAGGGUGCGCCGAAUACUGAAUGAUUAGAGUGCGGGAGAGGAUAGUGGAAUUCCUGGUGUAGCGGUGAAAUGCGUAGAUAUCAGGAGGAACACCGGUGGUGUAGACGGCUAUCUGGACCGUAACUGGACGCUGAGGCACGGAAAGCGUGGGUAGCAAACAG